UGCACAAUGGGCAUGUUACCAAUAAUAACGAAAAGAUGUCCAAAUCACUGGGUAAUUUUUUCACCAUUCGCCAGGUAGUAUGGGCAUAAAGGAGCUAUUGAAGCUAUUAAACUUUUGUUUAGUUUUUGGUAUUACUUGCUAUAUUUUUCUUACACUGCAGAUUACGGAAAGGUAUCAUCCAUUAGUUUUGAGACACUUUUUAAUUAGUGCUCAUUAUCGGUCCCCUCUCAACUACACUGUCUCUCAGUUGGAUAGUGCAUCAGAUACGGUUUAUUAUAUAUACCAGACUUUGCAAGAUUGCGAAGAUGCUUUAUCACAACAUCAAGGGGAAAACCUGGCUGACGGUCUGGGGAAAACAGCCAAAAAAUAUCCUGUUAGCUCUGCUGCUGAAGAAUGCCUCAGUAAUCUACGGUCUGAAUUUCAAUCUAGAAUGGCAGAUGACUUGAACACAGCACAUAUAUUAACUGGCGCCUUCCAGGAAGCUCUAAAGUUUGUAAAUAGUACUUUAACAUCGCUGAAGAAGAAGCAACCGAAGAAACAUCAACUCUCAAUGAUUCAGUCCCUUGUCAAUGUGAAGAAGGAACUGG
rnacentral:misc_RNA from 1 species